CUCAGCACUGACAGAAGAGUCGGCACAGAGAUGAGAUGACGAGGCGGAGAAGAAUAUGCGAUUGACACAUUUAGGAGAGAAGUAGGAGCGGGAGUGAGAGAACAGAGAGAAACACGAGGCUGCUGUAAUCUGACUCGAACAGAAAUGACACCGACCUUGGCUCCUUUCUUGCAGAGGAGGCUGACGAUAUCAGCGUGUCCUGCAGCGGCGGCCAGACAGAGGGGCGUCAUGCCGUUGUCAGUGGUGCCUUCUAUAGGAGCGCCCAUUUCAAGCAGCAGAGCUACCAUCUCCACAUGGCCCAGGUGUGUAAAGGUUCCUCAGGGAGGCCAGCGCUGCGGACAGACUGUCUGUGCUGCAGCUCACCCACAUGGCCUGGAGAACGCUGGAGGACACACCUGUCUUCUUACUGAGGCCCUGUGAAUGUGUGAAAGAGAGAGCGAGACAGAAAAAAGAGAGCGAUUUAGCGAUUAUGAGAUCUGUGGUGCGGAAUUUGAAUCGUGUCCCAGGAGUAAAGCAGUAUGUACAGAAUGCAAGCCAUGCAUGCCAACACUGCAAUAUUCACUGUACCGGGUGUUUAUCUAUAUGGGUAGUGCUAAUUUGUGUGGGUGAUGGUAGGGCCAGGGGUUCAAGCUUAUAUACGUGGUUCUUAGCAUGUUUCUGUGCUGUAACAUACAGUGAAGUGCAGGAUGUUGUUUGCAUGAAGCUGUGGGAAUCAUGGAGAGCCACAAAGGUUUAGGUACAAUCAGUUCCAGUCAUAAGCCUACAUAACGACUUACAUUACAUUACAUUGUAUCACAGUUCACGUUACCUUGAAUAUGUGAGCUUUGAGGAUGUGGUGUCCCAGUUCCAUAGUCUGCUGCCGGUUCAGUUUUCCCUCCUGUCUGGAGAACAUGAAGGCCAGGAGAGCAUGGCCACUCCUGUGUGUGAAUAUAGUGCUUAUUAAUCAGAAAUUGACUACCGUCAUGCUCUGCUGACAAAAAUCUCUUUUCCGACAAGAAUUUACAUACGUUUUUCUUGGUAUAUUCACAGCUUAGUCUCACCUCGGGUCGCAGAGAAAGUCUGAGCUCUCUCCGUCCGCUCUCCACACCAACCACUCUCUGAAGGAGGGAUGACACAGCAUCCGCGUGCCAUCCCUUCGUCUCACCUACAAACACAAAUGAUACAGAAAAUUGCUAAGCUGUAAAGGUGCAAUUAGUUGACAUAUUCAGACAUGUUUUUGUCCAUCCAGAUAGUGUAAGUCCUUUAGGGACGGCCUCUAAAUCACUGUGUACGUGAAAAUGAAAUUAACAAAACAAAUACAACAUUUAAACCUCUGAAACAAAAGCUCUAAUCAUUAUGUACUCUCCUCAGCAGUCAUGUCAAUAAUCUUACCAUGAAUCCAG